rnacentral:rRNA from 1 species
GAUGAACGCUAGCGGCGGGCCUAAUACAUGCAAGUCGAACGGGUGGUCGCAAGACCACUAGUGGCGCACGGGUGCGUAACGCGUAACCAACCUGCCCCGAUCUGGGGGAUAGCCCGCCGAAAGGCGGAUUAAUACCGCAUAUACCCGCAGCCUGGCAUCAGGCAACGGGGAAAGAUUUAUUGGAUCGGGAUGGGGUUGCGUGACAUUAGCUAGUUGGCGGGGUAAGGGCCCACCAAGGCGACGAUGUCUAGGGGACCUGAGAGGGUGAUCCCCCACACUGGCACUGAGAUACGGGCCAGACUCCUACGGGAGGCAGCAGUAGGGAAUAUUAGGCAAUGGGCGAGAGCCUGACCCAGCCAUGCCGCGUGCCGGAUGAAGGCCUUCUGGGUUGUAAACGGCUUUUCUCAGGGAAGAAAAAGACCUUGCGAGGUACACUGACGGUACCUGAGGAAUAAGCACCGGCUAACUCCGUG